CCACCACUGUAUUUGUGGCACAGGGAAGUUUUAGAACCAGUGGAUGACAUACAGUAAACAGCAACCUGUUGCUUCAAAGAUGUGCACCUAUGUCACUGUGAUGGUUGAUUGUCCUUCCUCCCUGAGUUACUAGGACAUCUCAGCAUUGCCCAAUGAGCUGCUGAUACUGCUCAGUGUGAAUGUCCUCUAGGCAUUGUCCCCGGCUGACUGGCUGUCCAGAAUGCACUGAUACAGAAGCAGUUAAGCAGAAUGGUUUGGCCUCAAAUGAUGAGACCAAUGUGGCACAUGGAAAUACAACCUAGGUGGAGCUACCAUAAGAGAAGAAAGAAUCAUCCAGCAAAUGAGUCCUUGGUGAUUGUACACUGAUCCUUCAGCUUGGAUAAAUAUUGGUGAAAGUGAAGAAGACGUGCAGUGUUCUGGAGAUUGCAUCCAUGGGUUGUGAUCAUGGAGCUGCUAAUUUUGCUGUCUCUGCAGAUACCUGUGCCUUUGGUGAUGUCACAGAUGUUCAUUGAAGGAUUGGAUACAAGCAUUAUCUUUUGUGUGAGAUCUAAGGUGCAAUUGACCUGGAUUAAGUGACUGGUCCUUCUGGACUGGGAGUAACAUGAAUAUUCCUAUGAUCCUUCGUGUCAGGGACCAUCUGUCACAAAGAUGUGCUCACCUGGGUGGCGAGAUAGAUUGGAGUACCCAAGGGGACUGUG